rnacentral:rRNA from 1 species
UCCCUCAGUAACGGCGAGUGAAGUGGGAAAAGCUCAAAUUUUAAAUCUACCUGGUACCCCCAGGUCGAGUUGUAAUUUGGAGAAGCGUUUUCGGUGCUUCGGUCUGGUCCAAGUCCUUUGGAACAAGGCAUCACGGAGGGUGAGAAUCCCGUGCAUGGUCAGACCCGAAGUUCCAAUCAGAUACGCUCUCGAAGAGUCGAGUUGUUUGGGAAUGCAGCUCAAAUUGGGUGGUAGACUUCACCUAAGGCUAAAUAUCAGCGAGAGACCGAUAGCGAACAAGUACCGUGAGGGAAAGAUGAAAAGAACUUUGAAAAGAGAGUUAAACAGUACGUGAAAUUGUUGAAAGGGAGACGAUUGAAGUCAGUCGUGCCGAUGAGAAAUCAACUUGACGGGUUUCGGAUUUCUUGGGUUGAGUCAGGGUCAAACCGUCUCUCCCUUGAAUUCGGGAUUUGUUGGGUGUACUUUCUUUGUUGGCAGGUCAGCGUCGAUUUCGGGGGUCGUAAAAUAACUGGGGAAAUGUAGCUCCCUUCGGGGAGUGUUAUAGACCCUGGGGGAUGCGGUCCGCGAGAUCGAGGAUUGCAGCAAAUGCUCU